GUCUGACUACCAGUAUUCUUGGAUGCAGAAGUGCUGAAGAUGAGCACACACACGUACGGAGAAUUUCUGGAGAAUUCAGCUGCUCAGAACAAGAACUGAGAUCCAGAGAGAUGAUGACUUUGCCCAUAGACCAAACAAAGAAAUACAUGUUUCAGUCCUGUGUCCUCCUGCUAUGUGUGUCCGGAAUUGGUGGGUUCUUGGUCUCACUGACUUCAAGAAUGAAGCUGCGGACCCUCGCGCUCACAGGAUAUCGGCCAUGUUAAUGAGUCUGAUGUUGCUAGUAUCACAGGCACCGGAAAAUAUGCACAUUAUGCUGGAGCAUUAGAAUGCAACAGAAAGAGCCCUGGGCUUGGAGUAUGCAGAACUGGUUCUUGUUACAACUCCUCUUACUAGUGGGCUGCUAUGGACCUAAAGUGGAGGGCUUUGAAAUUUCCUGCUUAAUUGGGCUGCAUGUCAUUGCUGUCCUUAGAAGUUGCUCUGGGAUGCAGCUCUGGAAGAAAACACAUUGAAUUCAUGAUCAUGGUUAACCUUUGGAGAGAGAGAGGAGACCAGGAUGAAGGAGCCAGUCGAAGAUCCUGUUCAAGUGUACACUGAGCCAGCAGGUUCACCAGAAAGCUAUUGAGCGUUUGCUGGAACACAUUAUGCAGGGUGAAUUUCUUCUGGAAUGUUGCCAAGGAUUUUUUAUGCUUCUGUGGCAGGCAUUUCUUGAACAUUGUCAUUUAGCCAAGCAAAGAAGAUUUUCUUAAAGGAUAGAAAAUGUUUAAAAAUUUUUGUUUGUUUGAAGAUAGGUUAAAUGGCUAUAUGAUCUCAGGAUAAGACAGAGAAAAUCACUUAUUUCUCUAAGUGAUCUGAUUAGGUUAGUGAUGUUUUGCCUUUAAACAGAUUCAUCAUUAUUCCUAAAGUAUUGCUGUAUUAAUACUGUCUUCUAGAAAGUAUCCACCAGUGCCUACUUUUCUUCGAUAUCAUUAGCUGUUUUUCGAAACUGAAUUUGCUCUUCAGAGAUUUCUCAUAUGUUUGCGUAUAAGGAACUACUGGUAAUAGCCAAGAAAAUUUGGAGGUGCAGAGAACAUGCUGAAACAGAAUUUUUCACUUUCAAUUCUAGAACUAUGCCAUAAAAAAAAAGGAAAAUGUAAAAAUGUCUUUAUAUUAGAGCAGAUAUUUUAAAAGUAUUGCAAAUUCAAUGAUA
ensembl:lncRNA KLF3-AS1 KLF3 antisense RNA 1